rnacentral:rRNA from 1 species
CGGUAAUUCCAGCUCCAAUAGCGUAUACUAAUGUUGUUGCAGUUAAAAAGCUCGUAGUCGGAUUUCAUGUAGAGAAGUAUAUUUGGCCCUUUGGGUUACAAAGAAACCAUCUCUGCAUUCUUUUGCUGUUACUGCGUUCUCUCACUUCAUUGUGCGAAACGUAUGUUCGGCACCUUUUACUUUGAGAAAAUUAGAGUGUUCAAAGCAGACAUUUUUGUCUUGAAUAUUACUCAUGGAAUAAUAAUAUAUGACUUCGGUCUUCCUUUGUUGGUGUUUGUAGGCUGGAGUAAUGAUUGAUAGGGACAGUUGGGGUCAUUAGUACUCCUUAGCGAGAGGUGAAAUUCUUAGACCUUAGGAAGACUAACUACUGCGAAAGCAUUUGACAAGGAUGUUCCCGUUGAUCAAGAACGAAAGUUGAGGGAUCGAAGACGAUCAGAUACCGUCGUAGUCUCAACCAUAAACUAUGCCAGCUAGGGAUUGGGAGAGGCCUAAAUUUUCAAAGACUCUCUCAGCACCUUAUGAGAAAUCAAAGCAUUUGGGUUCCGGGGGGAGUAUGGUCGCAAGGCUGAAACUUAAAGGAAUUGACGGGAGGGCACCACCAGGAGUGGAGCCUGUGGCUUAACUUGAUUCAACACGGGAAAACUUACCAGGUCCGGACAUAGUAAGGAUUGACAGAUUGAAGCUCUUUCUUGAUUCUAUGGGUGGUGGUGCAUGGCCGUUCUUAGUUGGUGGAGUGAUUUGUCUGGUUAAUUCCGUUAACGAACGAGACCUCAGCCUGCUAAAUAGUUAGCUCGAUCAUUGAUCGUGUUACACUUCUUAGAGGGACUACUUUGGGUUUACCAAGAGGAAGCAUGAGGCAAUAACAGGUCUGUGAUGCCCUUAGAUGUUCUGGGCCGCACACGGGCUACACUGGUGGCAUCAACAAGCAUGUAUCCUAGACCGACAGGUCUGGGUAAUCUUUUAAAUGUCACCGUGCUUGGGAUAGAAGGUUGCAAUUGUCCUUCUUCAACGAGGAAUUCCUAGUAAACGUAAGUCAUCAGCUUACAUUGAUUACGUCCCUGCCCUUUGUACACACCGCCCGUCGCUCCUACCGAUUGGAUGAUUCGGUAAGCACUCAGGACCGGAAUUGUCUUACUUCUUGUUCGAUAAUAUACGGGAAUGUGUUCAAACCUAAUCAUCUAGAGGAAGGAGAAGUCGUAACAAGGUAACC